CUUUAAACCAAAACUCUUUAAUUCUAAUAUUCAUUUUCAACAAUACAUUCACACAAUAAAAUAUUUUGCACGCAAGCACAAAACUUUUCUCUACUUUUUAACCACACAUUCUCCAAAUAAUCACUAUCCAAAAUAUCAUUUUUUUUCUCAAUAAUGGCCAUCAAACAAAGACUAAAUAAAUCACCAAUCAUCAAAAUGAUAAUUCUGCAAAAGUGCAAAAAACACAAGUGUAUUUUUAAAGACAGAACUGCCACAAAUAUUAUAGACAAAAAAGAAAAAUAUAAGAUUGGCGUGUACAAUUGACAAACAACUCAGUCCCUUAGAUGUUCAUUAACUUGCGAUCAUAUUCGCAAAUCAUUACAGGUCUGUAGAGUUCAUCACAGUUGUUCUAUACACACCAUGAGAAUUUAUGAGCCAAGAAUAGUAAAAUAUAUAUUAUAUAUCAGAUAAAAGAAAAAAGCAGCGUAACUGUAUAAAUAUAGCUGUCCCAGCGUUUUCUAAAAGCAACUCAAGGAUGCACACAGUCACUCUCACUUCCAGGGAAGGAGUUGGUCAGAAAUACGCCGAUCCUGCCAACCAGAUAGUCACAGUCAAAAAAAUUUUAUACAGUUCUUUUUAUUUUUUUGACCCUUUUCAGUUUAUUUUCUACUUAGUUACCACCUACAGAGUUCUCAUUCUCAAAUGAGUGACUGCAUAUUUUAAAAACUGUUUAAAGCUUUAAG
rnacentral:lncRNA from 1 species